rnacentral:rRNA from 1 species
GAUGAACGCUAGCGGCAGGCUUAAUACAUGCAAGUCGAGGGGCAGCAUGACUGUAGCAAUACAGUUGAUGGCGACCGGCAAACGGGUGCGGAACACGUACAGAACCUUCCUUCGAGCGGGGAAUAGCCCAGAGAAAUUUGGAUUAAUACCCCAUAGUACAACGGAGUGGCAUCACUUUGUUGUUAAAGAUUUAUCACUUGAAGAUGGCUGUGCGGCUGAUUAGGUAGUUGGCGGGGUAACGGCCCACCAAGCCUGCGAUCAGUAACUGGUGUGAGAGCACGACCAGUCACACGGGCACUGAGACACGGGCCCGACUCCUACGGGAGGCAGCAGUAAGGAAUAUUGGUCAAUGGACGAAAGUCUGAACCAGCCAUGCCGCGUGGAGGAUGAAGGUCCUCUGGAUUGUAAACUUCUUUUAUAUGGGACGAAAAAAAGGGUUUUCUAACUCGUCUGACGGUACCAUAUGAAUAAGCACCGGCUAACUCCGUGCCAGCAGCCGUACGG